rnacentral:rRNA from 1 species
UACGGAGGAUGCGAGCGUUAUCCGGAUUUAUUGGGUUUAAAGGGUGCGCAGGCGGAGGUGCAAGUCAGCGGUCAAAUUGCGGGGCUCAACCCCGUACUGCCGUUGAAACUGCAUCCCUUGAGUGCGCGAGAAGUAUGCGGAAUGCGUGGUGUAGCGGUGAAAUGCAUAGAUAUCACGCAGAACUCCGAUUGCGAAGGCAGCAUACCGGCGCGCAACUGACGCUCAUGCACGAAAGCGUGGGUAUCGAGCAGG